rnacentral:rRNA from 1 species
UUAAGGAAUUCGGCAAAAUGACCCCGUAACUUCGGGAGAAGGGGUGCCUGCGAGAGCAGGCCGCAGAGAAUAGGCUCAAGCAACUGUUUAGCAAAAACACAGGUCUAUGCGAAACCGAAAGGUGAAGUAUAUGGGCUGACGCCUGCCCGGUGCUGGAAGGUUAAGAGGAGAGGUUAGCGUAAGCGAAGCUUUGAAUUUAAGCCCCAGUAAACGGCGGCCGUAACGAUAACGGUCCUAAGGUAGCGAAAUUCCUUGUCGGGUAAGUUCCGACCCGCACGAAAGGCGUAAUGAUUUGAGCACUGUCUCGACAAUGCAUCCGGUGAAAUUGAAGUACCAGUGAAGAUGCUGGUUACCCGCGCCAGGACGGAAAGACCCCAUGGAGCUUUACUCCAGUUUGAUACUGGGAUUCGGUACUGCAUGUACAGGAUAGGUGGGAGACAAAGAAGGAUGGACGCCAGUCUGUCCGGAGUCGCUGUUGGGAUACCACCCCUGUAGUACUGGGUUUCUAACCAGUUGCCAUGAACUGGCAAUGGGACAAUGUCAGGCGGGGAGUUUGACUGGGGCGGUCGCCUCCGAAAGGGUAUCGGAGGCGCUCAAAGGUUCCCUCAGAAUGGUUGGAAACCAUUUGAAGAGUGCAAAGGCAGAAGGGAGCUUGACUGCGACACCGACGGGUGGAGCAGGUACGAAAGUAGGACUUAGUGAUCCGGUGGUAUAAAGUGGGAUUGCCAUCGCUCAACGGAUAAAAGCUACCCUGGGGAUAACAGGCUUAUCACUCCCAAGAGUUCACAUCGACGGAGUGGUUUGGCACCUCGAUGUCGGCUCAUCGCAUCCUGGGGCUGUAGCAGGUCCCAAGGAUUGGGCUGUUCGCCCAUUAAAGCGGUACGCGAGCUGGGUUCAGAACGUCGUGAGACAGUUCGAUCCCUAUCCGGCGCGGGCGGAGGAUAUUUGAGAGGAGCUGUCCUUAGUACGAGAGGACCGGGAUGGACGGACCACUGGUGUAUCUGUUGUCGACCAACGGCAUGGCAGAGUAGCCAAGUCUGGAAGGGAUAAACGCUGAAGGCAUCUAAGCGUGAAGCCCCCCUCAAGAUGAGAUAUCCCUCCUUCGGGAGUAAGACCCCUUGAAGACUACAAGGUAGAUAGGGCAGAGGUGGAAGCAUGGCAACAUGUGGAGCUGACUGUUACUAAUAGGUCGAGGGCUUAAUGA